UCUCUGCGACAGAAAUGGCGAUUUGUUUCCUUCUCUUCCAAUUGAUUUCCACAUCUGAUUCUCAAUGGUUUCGCCGUCGAUUUGGUGUUGAGUUUCCGCUGAAGCAGACGCAAGGAGAUUCCAGUGUAGAUCGAUCGAUCUAUUAGUCAGAGUGUUGAACUCUGGAUUGGUGAGAUGGUUCAGGAACUAUAGCAAGGUUGCGGUGAUGGAGGAGAUGAGAGCUUCUGAAACAAACUAUAGCAAGGUUGCAUCAAAGGUAGAUACUCUUACUCACUAUGAAACCGAAUCACAAGAUCAACAAGCUAGAGAAGCUUGUUGCUGAGUUGAGGACGAAGAACAGAUUGCAUCGGCUAUAAUGAUUUUUUGUUCAAGAACUAUUUGUGUUCACAUGUUCACAUAUGAAACUAUAUCACUAUGAAACUAUAGCAAGGUUGCAUCGGCUAUAAUGAUUUUUUUCUGACUA